rnacentral:rRNA from 1 species
GACGAACGCUGGCGGCGUGCUUAACACAUGCAAGUCGAACGGAAAGGCCCUGCUUUUGUGGGGUGCUCGAGUGGCGAACGGGUGAGUAACACGUGAGUAACCUGCCCUAGACUUUGGGAUAACUUCAGGAAACUGGGGCUAAUACCGGAUAGGAGCUCCUGCUGCAUGGUGGGGGUUGGAAAGUUUCGGCGGUUGGGGAUGGACUCGCGGCUUAUGAGCUUGUUGGUGGGGUUGUGGCUUACCUAGGCGUGGACGGGUAGCCGGCCUGAGAGGGUGAUCGGCCACAUGGGAGGUGGGACGCGCACAUGGCGCCUGCGAGACGCAGCAGAGGGGAAUAGUAGACAAUGGGGGGGAGUCUGGUACAAUGAGAGGGAGCCUGAGGAGGAGGCGCCGGGGGUGGGAAGACGGCCUGUGGGGUGUGAACCGCUGUCGGCUGUGACGAAGCGGGAGUGACGGUAACGGGUGAAGAAGCACCGGCUAACUACGUG